GACAGAGGGGGCAAGCGUUGCUCGGAAUCACUGGGCGUAAAGGGCGCGUAGGCGGGAUGGCAAGUCAGUCGUGAAAUCUCUCGGCUCAACCGAGAAACGUCGGCUGAUACUGCCGUUCUUGAGGGAUGCAGAGGAGACUGGAAUUCCCGGUGUAGCGGUGAAAUGUGUAGAGAUCGGGAGGAAUACCGGUGGCGAAGGCGGCAUCCUGGACCGACAUUGACGCUGAACGGCGAAAGCUAGGGGAGCAAACGGG
rnacentral:rRNA from 1 species